rnacentral:rRNA from 1 species
UAGGGAAUCUUCCACAAUGGGCGAAAGCCUGAUGGAGCAACGCCGCGUUGAGUGAAGAAGGUUUUCGGAUCGUAAAGCUCUGUUGUUGGUGAAGAAGGAUAGAGGUAGUAACUGGCCCCUAUUUGACGGUAAUCAACCAGAAAGUCACGGCUAACUACGUGCC